GGAUGGCUCAACUGGUAGACCAUGAGACUCUUAAUCUUAGGGUCAUGGGUUCAAGUUCCAUGAUGGGCA